rnacentral:lncRNA from 1 species
GAGAUCUCGUUCACAGCCACCACGAAAUCGUCGUCAUCUGCUUUACCCUCCCCCAACAUGAACACAAAGUCGACGUACUGAAACAGGAAGUCAGGUCUCUUCCUCGUGCCGAGCCUUGGCGUCUGCAUGGAUGCGGAAGAAGCAGCUGUCUCCAUUGAAAACUGGUAAUCCAGUCGGUCCCCAGAAGCCGAGAAGUCCUUGAGAUAUUGGAACACCUUACAAAACGCCAGAAUGCGAGAGUUGGCCACAAUAUCUCCUGAGCCGGUCAAACCAGGGUCAAUAGCACUCGCGACGGCCACCCCCAGAAUGCUAUCCGAAAAGUAAAACGGGCUUCCACCAUCCAAGCCACGGGGUAGCCUUGCCACGCUUUCGACAGAGCGAAUUGCCACAGGUAUCAAGCCCACCAAGCACCGGAUAUCUUCCAAGUAGGCUAUGAGCUCGGACUUGGUUGGCUCACCUGCUUGGACCGAGGUGAAGGCAGGAACAGCAGCGAUGAGAGUGGCAACCUCGGCUCCACUAUCAGUGCGCGAGAGGUACUUCCUUCUCAGAGAUACAGAGACCGCUGUGUCGCUUAGAAAGCCCGGCACUUCGCGCUGCCAAACAUCUUCCCCGGCCUCACUCAGGAUGCUGUAGAGCUCGCCCUUUUCAACCUCGGUCAGACCCUGGAGGUUUGCAAAGCGCUCCCUCGCGUCCAUUUACUGACCCCUGACCUCAGCACGAACGACCAGCCUUUCUCAUCCAUCCACGAUCUUACUUUAUCUUCAGGUACCCAUACCUGUCUUCGCGAUAACCUUGUUAGAACUACUUUCAAGCCCCGAGUGUCACAUCAAAACAGCAGUGCCGAAUUGCGCAAAACCGGGAGCUUGCCCUCGCCCAACAAAGACGGCGGGAGAACAACCAGCCACAACUGCUGCCUCCGGCCACCCCACGAUCAUUUCCCCUUGUGUGAAGGUGUCGGAUGGUGCUGGAUACUAUCUAACCCUGGCCCCUCAUCAUGCCACCCACAAUGGCCACCAUGCCACACACAACCCUAAAACAAUGGAUUGCUGAGUUGAUCCUUGGAUGAACCAGCCCCUCCACAUCUUGUAGCAUCGAUCACUCCCCAGUAUGAGGGAAAACAUUGAGAAAGAAAAUAAAAAACUUUCCAUACUCCUUCAUUAGCCACGUCCCAUAUGUCCUAUGGUCCAUAUGACAGUCUGUAACAUCACUCCCCCUGUCCUUAGGGAACACUAGCAGAUUCGAGCUCAGCCUGCAUGAUCCAAGUGUCUGUUUUAGAACAGUGUGGCCAAAGGUGGAAGAAGUCUGAAGUGCUGCUUCAAUUCGGAAAUGUGGAACACAUCAUGGAGUUUUGUUGACAUGGGAAGCUUUAGGUGAAAAGCAACUUCAUUGAUCUUCUCGACCACUAAGAAUGGAUCAAAGAACCUGGGAUGAAGCUUGGAGUGAGCAGCAGUGGAAAUGAACAUAGACGUAGUCCCUAACCUCAAAAGUCUGAGAAGAUUUGUGGCGAUCAGCGAAAUGUUUCAUACUAUCUGAGCUGCAAUCGAUCACUGAUGGACAAGCUGAUGGAGAUCUAUUGACAAGGACAACUAUUUCACACAUUGGAAGUGUCUUUGAGCUUUAGUUUUGUGUACCAUCCACAGCAAACUGUGAAGGCAUAUCUCGAUGGCUACACUAUGGAUUUUCCAUUGUCCUGGUACAAGUGGCUCCCCUUCACUGCAUUUGCAUACAACAUGGCUUUUCACCCUAGGAGCCUCUCCUUUCUUAGUGGCAGACAGGUGGAUAAGUUCCUUUUCCUUUUCAAAACUGACUGUUUCUGAGGCUGCCAAAAGGAAUUGAGAAACUUGGGAUCUCAGUCCAAAAUAAUUUCGUGUGGAAGGCCAUGAAAAUGAAUGACCUCGGAACAGAACUGCUCAACGACCCUCCUUGGCUGUAGCAGUGGAUUUCGUUUGUAUAAACCAGCCGACCUUGGUGAAACGAUUCACGAUCACAAAUAUGGCACCUCGGACAGAACGAAGGCCGACAGUAAAAUCCAUGUUAAUACUGUCAAAUGGACCAACUGCGAGAUGGAACCAUCUCAUGCUUAGUCUGUUGACAAACCAAGCAUUUAUGCAUUUCUUUCCAAUAAAAUGGAGUCUGAUAGCAGCUAGUCGAUGUUCCUCCUGGAUGUCCAGCCACCAAGCUAGAGUGGCACUCACAGAACACCUGUUUGUGAAGGUCAUGCCUGCUACUCAAGACAAUGCAAGCCUUUAUCCAGAGAAGGUCCUCAUCAAGGACAUACUUGGAAUGAUAUUGUCCUGCGGACAAUGUCCAGACAGCAUCCAAAACAGCUAGGUCCUCUUCAUACUCAUACAAAUUAUAUGAGUAUAUGAGUAUAAUUAUAAAUUAUUAUUUAUAUGGGAAAUUCCAUACAUAGCAAAAUCUUUUGGCGAUUGAAUAUACACCAGGUACUUCCAAUACAAUUCCUAAUGCUCUUUCAUGUAUGUUUGCAAAGAGCCUGUAGUUCCUCGAUCCAACUACAUUGUUUCUUGCUAAGGUGCUGUUGAUCCAUCAGGAACUGCAAGCUGAGGUGAUCCACUUGUAGGCAAAAAUGACAAAAUGAGAGGUAGUGGUGCCAUUUAUGAAUUGUGUGAAUCACUCUUGUCAUCUCCUAUUUGUACACCAUGCAAGAUUCAGCCAAAGAAAAUCGAUAGCUCUCAAAAGUGAUGAAGUGAGAGUCUUGUAAGAGCACACCACCAACCCCUACAUCUGAAGCAUCUGUCUCAACAACAAAUUCCUUUGAAAAAUUUGGGAGGACAAAUAUUGGAGCAGACAAUAUUUGUUCCUUCAAUGGACUGAAGGAAGCUUGUGCUCCCUUUGACCAGGAGAAUGUUGACAAACAAAUGAUGUCAAUAAGGGGGGCCACUGUUCAAAGUGUUGCAUAAACUUAUGCAAUUAAUUAUCAAAGCCAAGAAAAGCUUGAAAUUGCUUGAGAAAGGAAAUAACAUGUAGCUUAUUUAGAUCUGCUAUCAUGGUUUCAUUGGCGACUUUGAAUCUUAAAUAAGUGAUCUUUAUCAUCCAGAAUUCACACUUUAGAAGUUUAGCUAUUAUGUCAAACAAGAUUCUAGGUCAAAUGUAAUAAGGGUGUUUGAUAAAGAGGUAAAUAUUUUAUUUUAUGUAUCCUCCUAAGUAGAGCAAAAGAAAGAAAUUUAGGCAAAAUAGAGUUAACUUUAAACUUAGGCAAUGCUCAUCAUAUGAGAAGUAGUUAGGAACAAUUACAAAAUCAUAUAAUAUAUAAGUAGCAUUUAGAUGUGCUAAAAAAUAACCCUUACUCACUGUUAUAUAUAUUUGCAUUGAAUUAACCAUUUUUUCUCCCAUUUAUGACUAUUUAUGCAAAGUAGAGUUGAGAGAAUAAUAUAUACUUAUCCUUACUUAUGCCUUUGGGGUUUGAUGUUGAAUUCUUUUUCAUUUUAUUUUCAUUCUUCUUCUUUUGUCUAUGUUCUUGUCUUUGUUUGUUUGUCAUAAUUUUGUAGGUAGGAGCAAGAAUGCGAGUAUAGGUAAAAAAAAACUUUAUUCACUUUUGGUGACUACGGUGGGAUAAAUUAUCACUUUUUGGUUUGAAAAAUAGUUGAGAGAAAAUUGCUUAUUAAUUCUAAAUAUACCUAGCACUCAAGUAAUUUCUUCAAUGAUUGUAGAGGCUUUAAACCUAGACAAUAUUGAAUGAAAAAGUUUUUUUUUUGCAAUUGCAAUAGCUUAGUGCCCAGACAACAUAAGAAAAAUAAUUUUUCAACCAUCACAUAAGCCACAAAGUAUGGGAUGAGUUUAAAAUUAGCACAAAUUAGAGAUUGGAAAGAUAUGGCUUGGGUUAGCAUUGUUGCACUAAACUUUGUUUUCCUUUGAAAAGCUACUUAAGUUAUCUAGUUUGGCAUACAUUGCCAAGAAAUUCAAAUUCAAAUUGUUUAACAAGCAAUUUCUUGAGAAAAAUCCAAAAGAAGAAGGAAUAGAGUUUGCUUGAUAUGGAAAAUACAAUUAACUACUCUAGAAUUUUUUCCUUCUAAGCAAGUUUUCAUUAAGGUUUUUAGAGAAUAUAUUUUUCAGUAAAGUAUCUCAAUUUUUCUAGCAUAUAUAAGGAAGAAAAUUAUGCAUCUGUAACUCUUGUCUUUGACUCUAGCUUAAAGAGAGAUAAAGCCAGUUUUAGUGAAGAACAAAUUGGGGAAUUAUUUAUCAAAAUCUUACAACGCUUUGAUAGAGAGAGAAGUAGAAUAAUAAUUAGAACAUUAUGUUAUCUCAAAACUUUAAUCCAAGGUCCUUUAGUUUGGACAACCACUCAAACAUGGUUUGAGAGUAAACUUGUCUUGAGUUUAAGUCUCUUAUGCAUAUUUCAAAAGCCUAUGAGGCUUGAAUAAAACUCAUAAGUUAAAAAUUUAGAAAUGAUUAUCACGAACCACUUUAACUGUUCUAAUCACUUUAACCAUUUGAACUACUCUUCACCUAGUACACCUAGGCAAAUUAGUCAAGGCUUAUCUCUUAUACAUAAAGAACUUACUCAAAUAUUUGAGUUACAAACACUGCUUAGUGUGAAAAGUGUCACUCUUAUUUAGAUUUUGAGAGCACUCACAUCAUAUUUAGCCCCAUAGAGAGGAAUCAAAGGUAAUUACAUGAAACAUACUCUAUAUCCCCUGAAGUAAGGCAUAGAAAAAAAGUAAAUAUACAAAUGAAUAAACGUGAAAAUUUACGUUUUAGACUAGUUGAGCGAUACUCAAUUGUUAGGAGGAAUACUUGCCACUUUAAGUGUGAAACACCCUUUACAAGGUGUUGCAAAUGUGAUUGUGGGUAUUAAAAGUUACUUAUCAGCUAGUCCUUUCAAAUAUUUUUUCCUUAUUGCCACGAUAAUAGGAAGUUGGUAUUGCUGAACCCUUUAUCAAUCUUUUUUGUUCAAGUGUUAAUAAACUUGAUUUAGCAUUUGUACUUAGCUAGACGAGCAUAAGAAAGGAAUUCUUAAGUGUCUAUUUAGCCAAGCAUAUUUGGCUUAAUUUAUUAAUUCUCUUUUACUUUAUCCUGCACUAGCUUGAUAGGAACUCCCAUGAUAUUAAGUUUGGUCCCUCAAUAUUUGCUAUAUGAUAGCUUGCCAUAUUUGUCAAACACCCUCACUAUCAUGCCCUUUGUAUUGGUCUCUUUCUGGUCCUAAUUGUUAUUUACAAAAAGUGUCUAGAUUUAUUAAUUUGGCAUAUUUAAGGAAUGUCAAAAUUAUCCUAAAUAUAAUAGUGUUAUUCCCAUGCCCAAAUUCGCAAUCUAACAUCAUUCAAUAUUUAGUAAGUUUUCAUAAAGACUCAUAGUACUAAGAGUGGCUAAGGGUAAAAGCCCAAAGUAGGUAUUCCACAUAUAUAAUAAGGAUAGUGGGCAAAUUAGGCAUAGUCGACUAACCUGAGGUAUAAUCUAAUUCUCAUUUAUAUGUUUGUCUUUGUUCUACAUUUGAUUUGGGUCUAAACCUAAGUUCCACACCAUGCUAGCUGGUGGAGUACCUAUAUCCUCGCGUUAAGCCACCAGUAUGCUAAAAUAGCGCUAAGUUUUAUUUAGCUCUAUUUUACGUGGCAGUCAUAACAUUAGGAUGUUGAAUUCUUUAGGACUGUUCCAAGUUGUUUUGUGCUUUUGUCCCUUCAUUUCUUGGGUUAUACGCACAAGAGUCACUCUAUACUCCAAUUCCUUUGUUCAUUGGCUCUAUCUUUAAGAGUUCAACUCUAUUCCUUCAUUUAGGGCUUAAGACCCUAAAACUUGGGUUUUGCUCCAUUGUCCUUGGACACAUGGCAUAUGACAUGUGACAUAUGAAGGGUUUAGGUUCUGCUUCAUGGUUAUCCUAUAAUAAAUCACCAUAGAAUAAAGGGUAAAAACCACGUAUGCUACAUUUGGUAUCAAAGGAUACGUCUCAAUAUGUACUAUCUAAUGAGAUUAGGCAAUUAGUUUUGUUACAUAAACAAAUAUGAAAACAAUGAUCCGAGUGGGUACACGCUUGGGUGUUAAAACUUCACAUUUGUUCAUUAGGUAUGGAUUUUGAUUACCUUUUUGUCCUAUAUUGUGGAAGUUUGCACUUGGGCUCAUAAAAUAGAUUGAGAUCUUCAAUUUGAACGAGUUUGUGCUUGGGCUUGUGAAUAAAGCACAUUAGCAACUCAAGGUUACACUUUGAGUUGGUAAGAUUAAUGUUAGCCUGUCAAUGGUCCUAUGAACUGCUCCAUUGUUCGAUAUAAUAUGGGUAAAAAUAAACUUCCCUUGGGUUUACUAUGAGUGGCAAAUAGGCUGGUUUAUAGCUAUUUAGCACAACACUAGUGGAUCCUUCCUAGGCAUGAUUAUGAGUGGAUCAAUCAAGAUUGUAGGGAUUAGUCUAUUAGUUCAAAUAGUCAUACUAUGCUUUUUAUAAAUUUUUCUUGGAUUAAACUGAAAAUUAUGCAAAUACAAAUUUGAGGUGUAGUCAAAGUUGAGCCCGAAAAAAGAGUUAUUAAGGACGAAGGAUCAAACAUGUAAAUCAUCUUUUCUUCUUUAAAAGAUGAUUUAGCAACAAAAUGUGAUUUCAUUGUUUGUGUUCAUAUUAUGCAAUCAAGAGUCCUUAUCUUAAUGCAUGUUGGUUAUGAUGGUUUUACAAGUGGUGAGUCAUAAGAUGGAUAGCAGUAAAGCACUAAACCAUUUUGUAUAAACUUGCUAUUGAAAACUUGGGUUACAAUGUUUAAUUUUUUUCUAGGGAACUUUACUUUUGUUCUUUGAGUAGCUUGGUGUUGGAUAAGUUUUGAGUUUAGUUGGAAAGAGUGGUAUGAGUUUGUCUAUGUUGUGAAUAAAAUUGGUAGUGUUCAGUGUUGUAAAUCUCUAUUGAUAGGGUGUGGUAUUUAUGUUGCAUUUUAUCAAAUAGAGUUGGUAUUUGAUACUUACGUAAAUUUAUGGAGUAAUAAUGUGGGCUUGCUCAUAACGAUGUUUAAUUGAUGAUCAAGUCAUUAUGAUGUUUAUAUUAUAUUCAUGAAAUAGUGAGUAAUGUGUUUACAAAGUUGUUUAGUCAAACAAUGAUCAACCCCAAAGUGGUUGAUAGUAAAACUAGUCUACUUGCAAGUAGUAGCUUUGACUUAAUUUUCAAUAGUGAUCCAUUAUGCUAAGUUUAAAUUAGUACCUUUUUUCCUUGAGAGUUUGCUCAUUAGGUAUUGGAAAAAGUUAUAAUAUUCAUUUGCUAUAGUUUGUUAGUUUAUUCAUACUUGGAAUACAUUAUUGAAUGGAGAAAGUGUGAAAUUGAGGCAUUGAUAUUAUUAGCACUUGUAUUAUUAGAGAUAGCAUUGUUAUAUUGAGUGAUGAGGAAUUUUUCUUAGAGCUUGAUUUUCCAUGUCAUUUUUCUUGUUAGUGUUUUAGCUUUAUACUAAAUCUUGAAAGUGAUUGAAGAAAAAUGUUAAUGCAAUGUGAAUAUCCAAAGAUAUAAUCUUUGUAAUCAAGUUUUGGGUAUUCAUUUGCAUUUUACGGAUGUCAAUGAAAAUAUGGGCAUGAUGUUUGAUGGUUAAACUUGUUGUUAAGUCAUAAGAAUUUAUGUUGAGGUGAAUUUAUAUGAAGUUGUUAAUAUGAGGAAGUUGAUUGAGUCUUGAAAGUUUACAUUUUUAAACAGAGUCUCAUUUUUUCUUUAGGAUGGAAAAUUUUCCAUAAAAUUUCUUAUACUUUUCCAAUGGUUAAUUUUUUAAUAAUUUUUCUUGAAAACCAUUCCAUUUUCAUAAGCCAAUAUAAACUAGUGAAAGGGUUAAAGUUGACUUUGAUUAACUCAGACUUAGUUUGUAUGAUACGGCUCAAAAAGGAUACUGACUUUUAAGGUUAAGGCAAUUGAGUUAAAUAAAGUUUAGAGUUGGUAUAAAAAAGUGGCCAUUGCACUUUUCUAGAAAGAUAAAUUUUAUGUUUUUCUUCUAUAGCCUUAUAGUAGGUGGUAGAUUGCACCUUAUAUUUCAUUAUACUCUAUGAGAGUAGUAAUUCUCAUUGACUUUGACUUGGCCUUAGUGGAUCUAUACUUUAGCUAAGAAUAAUGAUGUUUAAUUAAUUGUUUGAAAUUAAGGUGUUAAUAUCCAUAUUAUAACUUUAUUUAUGAGGAGGUUAUAUACUAAUAUAAAUCCAUCUUGCAAUCUUCAUUUUAGUUUCAACUAAAUGUUAAUCAUGCAUAACAAGCCUAAAGGUGUACAUAGUCUAAACCCAGCCAUUGGGAAUCCCAAGGUUACAUCAGAGGACAAGUGCAUGAAGCUUGUGUGGGAAUGCUUAGUGCUUUGGCUGGUCUUCACAAGCUGGAGGUGGUUCAUUGUGAAGUGAGACUGGACAACAUGAUCUGGUCUCCUGUGCUACAUGCCAUUCAAAGAAACUGUUGGCAUCACCGCAGCAGAAACAAGCUGCUGAACACCGACAUUGUAUGCCCUUUCAAUGUGUGAUUUAACAGUCCCAUACUUUGUUUUGUAGACCACCCAAUUGUCAAUGCUCUUCAUGCAUCCCUCGCCGUCAAGCUGGAUAGUGGACCAUGCCCUCUCGUGUUUUUUGAAGAGCGGCAGCAUUCUGAGAAAGAAUCAAGAAUAAAAAGGUUGACAUACGAAGAAAACAUACCCGCUAGGUACCAUGUCCCUGCAGAUACUCAAGCAUAGGAAGUAGAGCUUGAAGAAAUGCAGAACAAGCUUGACACGUCGUCAAUAAGGUUCAAGUUGUACGCAGGGUCUAGUGGCUCUACCUCAAGACCUGAAGCGCUUUUGACAAAGAGCUGGCAUGUCAUGCCAACGCGAGCACAAUCUUGAUGUUCCUGAGCGCCCAGCUAGGCACCUUAUUGAAGCUUGGACGAGAUCUCGUUCACAGCCACCACGAAAUCGUCGCCGUCUGCUUUCCCCUCCCCAAACAUGAACACAAAGUCGACGUACUGAAGGUCUCUUCCUCUUGCCGAACAUUGGCAUCUGCGCGGACGAUGAGGUACAACUUCUAAGUCCCCUCCACUUCCUUAAGCUCCAAUGAAGUCUUGGGCGGACGAGACGACCGAA